ACAAUACAGGACAUGUGUUACCUGUGCUGUGUGUUGCUGUUGAGUUGCGUGGAUGGACUGUGACUUGAGAGGGCUCGGGCAAAUCAUUAACCGACAGGAGUUAAUUUAACUACCGCAACUCUGUCUGUGACCCAGAACAUCCAAACACUCUCGCAGGUGACAGACAAUAGGUGAUGAAGUCAAAAUGCGAUUGAUAACUCUCGGCUUUGUCUUUGCACUAUGGUUGUGUACACUCAGCUUUGUGAAAGGUCAAGUUUGUUUCCGAAAGGAUGUUUCAGCGAUUCCUGAAGUUAAAAACGUGGACAUUUCCAACCUAGAAGACACUGCAAUUGACAAAACAGUGAGGUUGCCCUGCGCUAUUGGCUACGUAGGUUUCGUUAGACUCAAAUGCGGCAGUAAAGGAUGGAGUAAAGAUGGUGGUCGAAAAUGUGAACCUAAGUCAUGUGGACAUCCAGGAGACACACCAAAUGGAGACUUCCAUCUUUCGAUUUUGGACGAUUUUGUCUUUGGAGCUCAAGUUCUGUACCAAUGCAGAAAAGGUUACCAAAUGGUGACCAGGUCCAGACAUCGGACCUGCGUGGAACAAGGCUGGGACAGCGCACUCCCUAUAUGUGAAGCAUUGAAAUGCCCAGUGAUUCAAGCCAACGACAACGUUGUGGUCAUCGGAAACAGUGAGGAUGCAACUUAUGGAAAUGUGAUCCAGUUUGAGUGCCAAUCAAAUCACAUGGUACUCAAAGGAUCGUCUGAAAUUGACUGCAACGAUAAAGGAGAAUGGAGCAGCACAGUCCCAACAUGUGAAGUGAUUAAAUGUUACGCUCCAGACAUAGCUAACGGUGCAGUGAGCGGGCCCCCUAAGGAAGAUUACGAUGAAGAUGACACACUGAGAUACAGCUGUGACACAAAGUAUGUUAAGUCUCAGGAAAGAGUCCCUAAAUGCACUAAAAUGGUCAACAGUGCCAACUGGAGUCCAACACCAGCGUGUGAAGAAGUGAGAUGUAAGUUAUCAUUUCCACCAACAAGAGGAACCAGUUACACACCUGCUGACAGAAAUAUGUUCUUGCCUGAUGAACGUGUAACGGUGACCUGUGACUCAGGAUUCUGGAACUUUUUCUCAAGUCAUACUGAAAAUACAAUAACAUGCAAAGAGGACGGAAAGUGGUCAUCUUCCACAACAGAUUGUGAACGGAUAACAUGUGGUGAUCCACAUGACCCUCUUGUGAUAUCUCCCUCCCGCUGGCAGCGGGGUCAAUUGAGAGGAACUCAGCAUUACAACUGUAGAACCGGAUAUAAAAACACAAAUGCCCGGGGUGUUGCCACAUGCACAAGUGAUGGCUCCUGGACUCCAGAACCACUCUGUGAAGAGAUUACAUGUGACAAGCCAGAUAUCCUAAAUGCUGUGAUUAAAGACCCGAAAACAAUAUACAAAUUCAAUGAUCUGCUCACUUAUGAGUGUAAUUAUGAACUAUUGGACAGUACUACCAGACCUACUGCUACCUGUACUACAAAUGGCUGGACCAAGACACUUGGCUGUAAAGGUAGGAUGACAUUUACAUUUCAAUCAUCUAAAACUCUGAGAAUAAGAGUCAAGCCACUGAUCCAGAAGGUUUAAAGUUUACUGGAAAGAUCAAGCAUCAGAGUUUAGCCUGUUUUAUUCCCUAUUUGAGGAUUUGGUGUGGAAUUGGUAAUGACAUGAACGUUCACUCACUUUGCUUCUCCAGAUAUUGCUCUGUUCAGUGCUUUUAUCAAACUGACAGCUUGGCCAAAAUGUAAUGAUAUGGUAAUGUUUUGUAGAACAGGUCCUCUAAGUGCGCUGUUAACUGAACGACGUGUCACAAUGCGUUCUGUAAUGUUUCCUGCCAAUGUUUCCCCCAGAAAUAGAGGGAGCAUGUAUCAACCCAACUGUGAUGAAUGGAUUCAUAGUUCAGUCAAAUGUGAGGAAUGUUGAUCCCAGGAAUAGCAAAAUAUACUCUUCCUGCAAUGUAGGGUUCAAACCCUCUACCGGGGGUUGGUGGGGUGAAGCCACAUGUACUGAGGGAACAUGGUCUGGAAUAUUAAAGUGUAUUGAUCAAUCACAAUGUGGCAGAAUCCCUGUCAUUCCCAACACAAGAGAGGUACCUCACAGUGAAGUCUAUAACAAUGAACAAACUGUUACAAUUGAUUGCAAAGUUGGAUACACAUCUGAAACUAAGACUAUAAAAUGUAAGGAUGGAGAAUGGCAAACACCGUUACCAGCUUGUAGACCGCAAGGCGUUCAAUGUGAUCCUCCACCUAAAGUUGAAAAUGCAAUUGUUAAUAUCCCGUAUCAAAAUAAAUAUAGAGAGGGAUUUGAAGUGAAUUAUGAAUGUCGCAAGUCCAUUGAAAUAGAGGGACAUAAAAAACUUACUUGUGAAAAUGGGAGUUGGACAACUCCACCACCAACAUGCAAACAGUACUGUGGUAAGCCUGAGGGCACAGGGAAACAAAUUUGGAUUAUUGACAAAGUGCUGAAGAGAUACAAAAAUGGGAACCAAAUAGACUAUACAUGCAUUAGCCCAUACAAAGGCCCCGGAGGAAAAGCAACUUGCAAGAAUGGAGAAUGGCACAUGCCAUUUGAGUGUAACGCAAGCUGUCCUGAUCCUCCUCCCAUUACUAAUGGAGAUUUAACCAAGCAAGAGAGAGAUGUUGAUGGUGUAAUUACAGAGGUGUCCUACCAAUGCAACAGACAGUUUACACUGAGUUCCACAGGCAGCAUCAGAUGUCUGAAUGGAAAAUGGCAGAGUCCUCCAAAGUGUUUACGGUCUUGUGAGAUUUCCACUUUUGCUGCAGAGUACAAUCUACAGAAUUUACCCGAAAAAAAUUAUACUGCGCAUGGUGAAAAAAGGACUAUUCAUUGCAAAAAGGGAUAUUACCAUAAAUACAAGAUAAUUCUACCAAAUAUAGAAAAAAUUGAAGUGAAGUGUGAUGAUGGAGAGUUACAGUAUGGAGAACACAUACCUAUAUGUAGCCAUCGUUAUUCAUAGGUAGAUGAUGAACAUAAGGGAGUCAUGAUGUUCCCUCCAUCAAUUUCAAGAAUCCGUACAAAGCCACCUUUAUAUGCAAGGAGAAGACCCAUUUGCUUUUGUGGUGUCUGUCGCUUGUUUAAUUUAGAUUUAGAAGAAAUGUGAGCCAUCCAGUAAUGGAAUACAUGUGUCUUUUCAACAUUUGACAUUGCAUCAUUGAAACAAAAUAACAGUAUCUUUCAAAUCAUAUCAGUCUCAGCUUCACUAUAAUAACAGUACAGCUAUCUAAAGCUAGACUAAAAUGGUACAUUUGUUGUAUUAGUACAAAGUGAUGUGAUUGUGUGAAUAUCCUUCUAUCAAGUUUAUAAAUUGCCUGGCUGGGCUGAUGAGACAGUGGAUUGCGCAGUCAGUGAAACAGAGUAAAUAGGCAUUUUAACAUCAUAGAUUUAGCCGGUGGUAGCUUGUGGAAUAGGCACCGGCUGGAAUGCGGUCUUAACCAAUCAGCAUUCAGGAUUAGACCGACACGCUCUAUAAUGUGUGAAUAUUCUCCUGUAUCUCCCAGCUGUGUGAUUCAUUACCUGAAGGUGUAAUAUAAGUGGACAACUGUUAUGAUUGUGAUUUGCCUUUUUCAAGACAAUAAAGUUGUCCAAAAGAGAUGA